rnacentral:misc_RNA from 1 species
UGGUUCUAGCAUCGAUGAAGAACGCAGCGAAAUGCGAUAAGUAAUGUGAAUUGCAGAAUUUUGUGAAUCAUCGAAUUUUUGAACGCACAUUGCACCUUUUGGUAUUCCGAAAGGUAUGCCUAUUCGAGCGUCAUUUCACCUAUCAAACUUCAAGUUUGGUUUUGAAUUAAAUCUGAAUUGAUUAAUUCCAAAUAAAAUUUAGUUUUGGUACAAUGAUCUGUAUUUCAAAAUUAUUUUCAAAAAAAUAUCUUUUAUGGUUGACCUCGAAUUAGGUAGGAUUACCCGCUGA